rnacentral:misc_RNA from 1 species
AACAAGGCGUACCUGCGGACCUGCGGAAGGAUCAUUACAAGUGACCCCGGUCUAACCACCGGGAUGUUCAUAACCCUUUGUUGUCCGACCCUGUUGCCUCCGGGGCGACCCUGCCUUCGGGCGGGGGCUCCGGGUGGACACUUCAAACUCUUGCGUAACUUUGCAGUCUGAGUAAACUUAAUUAAUAAAUUAAAACUUUCAACAACGGAUCU